AAUUUAUUUGUUUUAUUACUGGUAGAGUUUUGAAUUUUUCCCAGUAUUUUACUUUGAUGAACAUUCCUGCUAUGAAUAUUUUAAACAUGUUUUCUGGUGCACAUGUGUAAGAUUUAUUCUAGAAUAUGAACCUGGGAGUUGAAUUAUUGGGUAGCAUAUCUGUGUAUAUUCAAACUUUAUUAGGUAAUGCCAAUUUCUUUUCACAAAUGGAUGUGGUAGUGUGCUUUCCCACCAGUAAUGGAUGUGUGUAUUUGUUGUUUUCUGGUUUUGCCAGUACUUGAUAUGGCCAGACUUAAGUUUUUGCAAGUCUGUUGAUGAUGAUGACAUUUUGUUUUGGUUUUAGUUUGCAUUCCUUUUUUUUUCUUUUCAGACAGGCUCUCACUCUGUUGCUCAGGCUGGAAUGCAGUGGUAGGAUCUCAGCUCACUGCAACCUCUGUCUCUCGUGUUCAAAGGAUUCUCCUGCCUCAGCCUCCUGGGUAGCUGGGAUCACAGAAAAGCUCAAGAGGAGAACAAGAAAAUAG
rnacentral:lncRNA from 13 species